rnacentral:rRNA from 1 species
GAAGGGCUCGCGGCUGAUUAGCUAGUUGGAGUGGUAAAGGCACACCAAGGCGACGAUCAGUAACUGGUCUGAGAGGAUGAGCAGUCACACUGGAACUGAGAAACGGUCCAGACUCCUACGGGAGGCAGCAGUGGGGAAUUUUCCGCAAUGGGCGAAAGCCUGACGGAGCAAUACCGCGUGAGGGAGGAAGGUUCUUGGAUUGUAAACCUCUUUUCUAGGGGAAUAAAAAAAUGAAGGUACCCUAGGAAUAAGCAUCGGCUAACUCCGUGCCAGCAGCCGCGGUAAUACGGAGGAUGCAAGCGUUAUCCGGAAUUAUUGGGCGUAAAGAGUCCGUAGGUGGAAGUUCAAGUCUGCGGUCAAAGAAUGGAGCUUAACUCCAUAGAGGCCGUGGAAACUGAGCAACUAGAGUGCGGUAGGGGUAACGGGAAUUCCCAGUGUAGCGGUGAAAUGCGUAGA